AGACAACCCAAGAAUAUAGACCCUUUGCAAACACGUGACCAUGACCACGUGACAACGCCAUGACGGGCGGUAGAAU